GUCCACGCCGUAAACGAUGGGUGCUAGGUGUGGGGGUGUCGACUCCCCCGUGCCGCAGCUAACGCAUUAAGCACCCCGCCUGGGGAGUACGGCCGCAAGGCUAAAACUCAAAGGAAUUGACGGGGCCCCGCACAAGCAGCGGAGCAUGUGGUUUAAUUCGAUGCAACGCGAAGAACCUUACCAGGGCUUGACAUGGUCGGGAAAGCCGUAGAAAUAUGGCCCUCCUUCGGGACUCGAUCACAGGUGGUGCAUGGCUGUCGU
rnacentral:rRNA from 1 species